AGUGCGAAGGGACGCGGUGCGCAUGCGCGUGAGGGCUGCCGCGGGUGGGUGGUAUCGAGGCCUGUCGGGUCAGGGCGGUUCGCGGGUGCUGUCAGAGCUGGGCCGGGGCCCCUAGGCAGGGUAGCCGGGUCGUAGAGGCGGGGGCCGGUCGCGGUCGGUGGAGCGGGAUGAGGAUGUAGGAGGGGCGGACGUGGCGGAAGCCGCGGGGUCCGCGGGGUCGGUGCCUCUAGGGAGCCAGGGAGGCCUUUCCCGAGGCUCCUGGGGAAGAAGAGGCGAAGCGAGAGUCCCUGGGGAACCCCCACUCCACUCCCAGCUGGAGACUGGGUUGUGUCUGCAUGGACCAGAGCCCACAGUGCGAGUUGCUAUAGGCAACCAGCCAGGGUGGCCAGCUCCUUCCCGUUUGCCCGUGAUGUUCUGGUUUUGGGACCAAAGCAUCCUAGGCCUCCAGCCCACUGCAGUGACCGAAUUCUGCGCCCCCUGCCCAUCUUCUCCCGCAGCUUCCCUAGAUUAGGCUUGGGAGGCAAGAGGAGGCCUCCUGACCUUUCACACUGCCUUUUUAAUAUUAAGAUGAAGUCACACUCCACAACUUUCUUCCAGCCAGGCCCAGACAUGUCCGUCCUUGUAAGUUAAAAGCUUCCAUGGGAGCCUUCCUUCCUAAUCAAGAUGCAAAUAAUACGGCACUCCGAACAGACACUAAAAACAGCUCUCAUCUCAAAGAACCCAGUGCUUGUAUCACAGUAUGAGAAAUUAAAUGCUGGGGAACAACGUUUAAUGAAUGAAGCCUUCCAGCCAGCCAGUGAUCUCUUUGGACCCAUUACCUUGCAUUCUCCAUCAGAUUGGAUCACCUCCCACCCUGAGGCUCCCCAAGACUUUGAACAGUUCUUCAGUGAUCCUUACAGAAAGACACCCUCUCCAAACAAACGCAGCAUUUAUAUACAGUCCAUUGGUAAAUACUGGCUCUCUAGGAAACACCAGAAUUAUCAGUGAAGAAUAUAUUAAAUGGCUCACGGGCUACUGUAAAGCAUAUUUCUAUGGCUUGAGAGUAAAACUCCUAGAACCAGUUCCUGUUUCUGUAACAAGAUGUUCCUUUAGAGUCAAUGAGAACACACACAACCUACAAAUUCAUGCAGGGGACAUCCUGAAGUUCUUGAAAAAGAAGAAACCUGAAGAUGCCUUCUGUGUUGUGGGAAUAACAAUGAUUGAUCUUUACCCAAGAGACUCGUGGAAUUUUGUCUUUGGACAGGCCUCUUUGACAGAUGGUAUUCCGUUUUUGGCAUUGUUGUUAGAAGCUUCUUCAGCUUGAGAAUAUUUGAAGAUGUUAGAAGAGGGAAAAAAUUCCAACCAAGAAUCAUAUUGAUAUUUAAAAUAUUUUCAGUUGAGACAUUAUGCCAUAAUGGGAAGUGUGCUGUUGGUAGAUUGUGAUAAUCUAGGUUCUGGUUGGCCACUCACUACCUACAGGACCUUAAAGGUGUGGGGAUAUUCAGCUUUGCCAGGUAUGGCAGUGAUUUUUAUAGCAUGCACUAUAAAGGCAAAGUGAAGAAGCUCAAGAAAACAUCUUCAAGUGACUAUUCAAUUUUCGACAACUAUUAUAUUCCAGAAAUAACUAGUGUUUUACUACUUCGAUCCUGUAAGACUUUAACCCAUGAGAUCGGACACAUAUUUGGACUGCGACACUGCCAGUGGCUUGCAUGCCUCAUGCAAGGCUCCAACCACUUGGAAGAAGCUGACCGGCGCCCUCUAAACCUUUGCCCUAUCUGUUUGCACAAGUUGCAGUGUGCUGUUGGCUUCAGCAUUGUAGAAAGAUACAAAGCACUGGUGAGGUGGAUUGAUGAUGAAUCUUCUGACACACCUGGAGCAACUCCAGAACACAGUCACGAGGAUAAUGGGAAUUUACCGAAACCCGUGGAAGCCUUUAAGGAAUGGAAAGAGUGGAUAAUAAAAUGCCUGGCUGUUCUCCAAAAAUGAGGACCUUCAAAUAGGAGUGAUUGAAAUAAAUAACUACUUGCAUGUUAUGCUUUCAUUUGGGUGGAAUACUUCAUUGGAAUAAACUACUGAUCUUGUGCUGUGUCAAAGUAACAGACUAGAACCUUCUUUCAAGUACCUGAAUUGAAAUGAAACUCAUUUUGAAUAAUAAAAACUCUAGAAACUCUU